rnacentral:lncRNA from 1 species
GUCAGCCAAAAAGAGAACACUGGUUUCUGUUUCGCUUUCACAGACUCUGAUAUUCAAUAUUACCGUGUUGUUGAAAGUGCACGUCUUUUCCCUUUAACCAACCAUUGUUAAAGAUUAUCGAGAUAUAAAGCGUAGCAAGAGGAGUUCGACACACCUUUUGGACUCAGAACUUUCUUUUACGGUUUUAAAGUUCGACUUUCAACCCUACUGAGUGCCCACUGUUGAAUGAAGCCAUGAAGUUUUUGUACAUUUUUGGAGUAUUUUACUACAUCAUUAUUUUAAAAAUUUCUCAUCAUCUCACAGAGGCUCCGUCUUUUUCGCAAUCUCUUUCUAGAGGAAAAUCUUUGUUACUUUCGAGCUUAUCCUCUCGUGCGAGACAAUCCUCAGCUUCCAUUGAUGGAUCAUCAUACAGGAACAAAGGCUCGACUGUUGAUGACAACGAGAUCCCGCAACAGGGUGCUACGUCAAGGCUGAUGUUCAAUAAAUCCCUCUCAACUAAACUCAAGUCGGUUUUUUCCAGAAAACAUAGUCAUCUCAGCAAAGAGGAAAAGGAAGAACAACAAAGGAAAUGCGAUGCUGAAAACUUUCGGCGAGCAUACGAGUCUAAGACAGAUUAUGAUUUUCUCAGGCAGCUAAGGCAGAAAUGCUGGCGAUACUGUUUGGAGAACCAUGGCUACUUCUACGAUUUGACCACAGGCAAAAGCCCUCCGCUCUCGGAAGGUGUGGUGAUAGAAGAACAACAUUGCGCUUCGAAGCCGAGCCUAAUAUGCGUUUGUCGAAUGUCGACGUCGCUUUCUGACAUGCUAUCAAAGUGGGGCCUUCAACCUAAAUCCUAUACAGCGAAGAACGGGGAGCUAAGAAAACGGAGAAUCCUCAGUCUUCUUCGGAAGAAACAUGUGUCGGUUUACAGCACAGAGGAUUUGCGCAUACUUACCAAGGAGAGUUUUAAGGAUCAUGGCGUGGCGUACAACGAGAGAACCAAGAAUGAAGUGGAUGAGAGGCUGAGACUGCUGAGAGCCGAGGCGAGGAUGAGAGCGGAGUGGGCAGCAGCCCAGGAAGCCGAGUCCAAACGUGGAAGUUCACCCGAGCUCGAUAUCCUGGAAGAUGAAGAUGAUGAAGGGGGUAGCUCAAAGAGCGUCUCGAGAAGAUACUCGGAAAGUAGUCGGCGGGGAAGUUCAGGAGGCAGCCCACGGUGGAGCCCACUAGAUCGACAUAGCAAUUCCUUGGUGACGAAGCGAUAUGAUGGAAAUAAAUAA